rnacentral:snoRNA from 1 species
AUUCCAUGGUGAGGACAAUCUGAUAUGUAUCAAAAUGCUCCCAUGCUUCUGAAAUGGUUUCUGUCUUCUGCUGUUGGAAACUGACAAUACUUCCUCUUAAGACA